rnacentral:misc_RNA from 1 species
GCCCUGCAUCCCUUGCAGCCUGUUG